rnacentral:rRNA from 1 species
ACGGAAGGCAGCAGUGAGGAAUAUUGGUCAAUGGGCGGAAGCCUGAACCAGCCAAGUCGCGUGAAGGAUGAAGGUAUUAUGUAUUGUAAACUUCUUUAGCAGCAGAGUAAUAAGGGGGUCGUGACCCCCGAUGCAAGUAUGCUGAAAAUAAGGAUCGGCUAACUCCGUGCCAGCAGCUGCGGUAAUACGGAGGAUCCGAGCGUUAUCCGGAUUUAUUGGGUUUAAAGGGUGCGCAGGCGGUUUUUUAAGUCAGUGGUUAAAUCGUGAGGCUCAACCUCAUCACGCCAUUGAUACUGGAAGACUUGAUUGCGGUUGAGGUUGGCGGAAUUCGUCGUGUAGCGGUGAAAUGCAUAGAUAUGACGAAGAACACCGAUUGCGUAGGCAGCUGACCAAGCCGUAAAUGACGCUCAUGCACGAAAGUGCGGGGAUCGAACAGGAUUAGAUACCCUGGUA